ACGGAGGGUGCAAGCGUUGUUCGGAAUCACUGGGCGUAAAGCGCGUGUAGGCGGUUGGAUAAGUCGGAUGUGAAAUCCCGGGGCUUAACCUCGGAAGUGCAUUCGAAACUGUUCAGCUAGAGUACGGGAGAGGGGAGUGGAAUUCCUGGUGUAGAGGUGAAAUUCGUAGAUAUCAGGAGGAACACCGGUGGCGAAGGCGGCUCUCUGGACCGAUACUGACGCUGAGACGCGAAAGCGUGGGGAGCAAACAG
rnacentral:rRNA from 1 species